CCCCCGUGGUAGCUGUGGCUUGGCGUGGCAGAGCGUUUUGUUUGGCGUGGCUGUGACUUCUUUCAGUCGGACGCAAUAGUUGUUGUUUGCGGCAGCCGUCGAGGCACUGGUCUCCACGCAUUCAGCGCACCUGGUUGCUGGCACUGUGGGAGACUGUGGGAUUGUUCCGCUGGAUUUCUUACGGGUCCAUUUGCGUGUCCGUUGGUGCUGAGGGCCUGAGGCAGCAGUAGAUCCCUGGUGGUGGUGGUCUUCACGAUUCUUUUUUGUUGGUGUCACGGGUGGCUAGUUUUAUGGACCUUCCCCUUUUGAUUUUCCCUGCCACCGUGGUAAGCCCUUGCUCUACUUGCACCCCUAGGCCCAAGUGCUAGUUUGAUGGUGGCUAACUCCUUAGUG